rnacentral:rRNA from 2 species
AAAAAAUGACUCUCGGCAACGGAUAUCUCGGCUCUCGCAUCGAUGAAGAACGUAGCGAAAUGCGAUACUUGGUGUGAAUUGCAGAAUCCCGUGAACCAUCGAGUCUUUGAACGCAAGUUGCGCCCUAAGCCUUCGGGCCGAGGGCACGUCUGCCUGGGUGUCACGC